rnacentral:rRNA from 1 species
AUUGAACGCUGGCGGCAUGCCUAACACAUGCAAGUCGAACGGCAGCGAGGUUAGUAGCAAUACUAACUGUCGGCGAGUGGCGGACGGGUGAGUAAUACGUAGGAACUUGCCUUGGAGAGCGGGACAACCCGGGGAAACUCGGGCUAAUACCGCAUGAUGUUGAGAAACCAAAAGUAGGGGAUCUUCGGACCUUACGCUCUGAGAGAGGCUUACGUCGGAUUAGCUAGUUGGUAGGGUAAAGGCCUACCAAGGCAAAGAUCCGUAGCUGGUCUGAGAGGACGAUCAGCCACACUGGGACUGAGACACGGCCCAGACUCCUACGGGAGGCAGCAGUGGGGAAUUUUGGACAAUGGGGGCGAACCCUCGAUCCAGCAAUGCCGCGUGUGUGAAGAAGGCCUGCGGGUUGUAAAGCACUUUAGGUGGGGAGGAAAGCCAAAUGGUGAAUAACCAGUUGGGGUGACGUUACCCACAGAAUAAGCACCGGCGUAACUCUGUGCCAGCAGCCGCGGUAAUAC